rnacentral:rRNA from 1 species
UACGAAGGGGGCUAGCGUUGCUCGGAAUUACUGGGCGUAAAGCGCACGUAGGCGGCUCUUUAAGUCGGGGGUGAAAUCCUGGAGCUCAACUCCAGAACUGCCUUCGAUACUGAAGAGCUCGAGUCCGGGAGAGGUGAGUGGAACUGCGAGUGUAGAGGUGAAAUUCGUAGAUAUUCGCAAGAACACCAGUGGCGAAGGCGGCUCACUGGGCCGGUACUGACGCUGAGGUGCGAAAGCGUGGGGAGCAAACAGG